UAAGUAUGGCGAGUGACUGCGAGGCAUAAAAGUGUUUCGAGGAAAGUCCGAGCUGCUCUAAGACAUGGUUUCAUCUAACAGAUGACUAGGGCGACCUAAGGGAAAGUGCAACAGAAAACAGACUACUGCUCACAAAGAGCAGAAAAGGUGAAAAGGCGGUGUAAGAGACCACCAGCAUUUAUGGCAACAUAAGUGGCUUGCAAACCCAACCUGCAGCAAGAAGGGAUGGUUUAGUCUUAGAUAAAAACCCUUCGCUUGAACCAAUUUGUGAAAUUUGGUCUAGAUAAAUAGUCACCUAAACAGAACUCGGCUUAUAGCCAUACUUAUCUA
rnacentral:RNase_P_RNA from 1 species